UAACGAGCCGUCUUGGUGACCUGGUAGCCAUGGAUCUGAUCACUCAGCCUUGGACUCAGCGAUGCCGGGAAGAUGGGGAAGAGGAUGUGGAAUGUCCCACCAGGACUUCUCCAUGUCAAAGUCAGAAGCCACACACCAGCGCUCACUGGGAUGUGAACCAUGGAGAUGAGCGAGGCUGUGCCCAACCUCUAC